CUUUGGAUAGUAUUAUCAUUAUUACGUCAAAAAAACUCAACAAUUGUAUUGACUUGUUGACACAAAGAAAAAGCUAUUUCGAGGUUGUUAUGACCAUUGAAUCGCUAAGUUUGAUAGGCGCCGUGACCUGGACGCAGAUUCUAAGCAAGAUGGGCCAAAAAUGGGGGUAGCUUAAGAGACUUGCCCAUAACAGACACGCCUGGAGGAAUCUGGUUGGCGGCCUAUGUCCCAGAUGGGACAACAGGCGAAGAAAAGAUGAACCUACUUGAUUUGAUAAACAUUUUUAUGUUUUUCAGUUUCACCUGAAGACGUUUCCCACCAACCAUCCUGUCUUGAAAGAAAUUACUUUUGAACCCGAUUUUCUGGUUUUUGCCACGAAUUGUUGAGAGACCUUCAGGAGAUGGAUGUUCAGCAGCUGUAUGUUCAUCUAGGCUCCAACUACUUUCUCGAGAUGUAGCUGACUUGUGCGAUUUGGUCUAUCAGGUCAGUCCAGACACGUUGACUUGUGCGAAGUGCUUCCUCGGUGUGCAGAUUACAGACAAGGUUGUUGGAUACCAGAAGGACGUCUGACUGCCAUGCAGAAAUGGAUUAAACGAGCCAACUCACUACUUCUGGACUACUGUCGUAGAUUGUUUUUUUGUUUGGUGGACAAAACAUGCUGAUCAAAAAGAAUGUGUACCACAGGGGCCGGUGUUUUCAUUUGAGUGAUUGUCAAGAAGAAGAGAUGAGAAAUGUUAUCAUCAUAUUGUACACUCGACAUUUAUAGUGUACAGCUCAAUCAUGUAUUGAACUGGUGUUGUAGAAUAUAAUUGGAGAUACAAUGUGAACAUUCUAACAUUAUAUAUAAGAUGAUAUUUCAAAAGCAAUAAGUAAUAAAAAGUAUAAAAAUGAAGAAAAACAGUAAACCAUGUGUUUCAGAGGUUUAAACUAAGUGCAGUGGAAGUGACUAGUUAACUGUUGAUCAUAAGCUACACUGGUGGAAAAAAUAGUGGGAAUUACUAUUUAGAAAACUGUUAAACCUUGGACAACAGUUGUGGAACUUCAUAAAUGACUUUAUCCCACUUUAACAGCGAAAUCGGUUGAUUAAAGCCCCGUUGAUUAAAUUUCAUCUAUAAUCAACGGCAAGGCUAUAAUCAAUGGCACGAAAUGACGUCAUCAACUGCCGAACCGGGACUACUUUUUCCCACGCACCUCGUCACCUGUGUUUGCCAAGUGCAUCAAUAAUAAAAACAAUCUCAAAUGUUUGUCAAUCUUAAUGACCUUAAAACAAAGGAAAGUAGCAAAAAAACGAGUUUUUUGUCAUUUAUUGUCAUUAAAACCUAGUAUUAGGUAAAUUUAACACUAUGCAAAUAGGUUCUGUUGUUGUUGCUCCCCUUUGAAGAAGUCAGUUCGAGUUGCUCCCCUUUGACCGUAGAAAACAAUCGUCUGGACCAAGAAAUCCUGUGUUCAUUUACAAGAUGUACUCGGAUAUGCGUCCAUCUGAUUUUUCUUUAAAGCAUCUUUUCUACCUGGCAAUACGCACAAAUGACACUGCAUCCCGGUGAUUCUUGCGUCAACAAUUGGGUGUCAACAAGUUAGGUCAGAUGCUGAAGGCCAUGGCAAAAGACGCCGGCUUUCUCAAGCACAAGAGAAUAACGAACCACUCAGUUCGCAAA